rnacentral:rRNA from 1 species
UGGGGAAUUUUUCGCAAUGGGGGCAACCCUGACGAAGCAACGCCGCGUGGGUGAUGAAGUCUCUUGGGACGUAAAACCCUUUCGACGGGGAAGAAACCGCAAGGUUGACGGUACCCGUAGAAGAAGCCCCGGCUAACUCCGUGCCAGCAGCCGCGGUAAUACGGGGGGGGCAAGCGUUGUUCGGAAUUACUGGGCGUAAAGGGCGCGUAGGCGGUGCUCUAAGUCGGAUGUGAAAACUCUGGGCUUAACCCAGAGCCUGCAUCCGAAACUGGAGUGCUAGAGUUCUGGAGGGGAUAGCGGAAUUCCUGGUGUAGCGGUGAAAUGCGUAGAUAUCAGGAGGAACACCGGUGGCGAAGGCGGCUAUCUGGACAGAGGCUGACGCUGAGGCGCGAAAGCUAGGGGAGCAAACAG